UUCCCCUUUCUCCUCUCUCUCUAGCGAGAAGAGAGACUCACUUCUCUCAUUGACCUCCAAUUCCACCCACCAAUGGCGCGGCCACGGCCACAGGUAGCCACCACCACUGCCGUCUUGAUCCUAUUUCUCGUGGCCGAGGUCGUUUCCUCCGACGAAGCAAGCACCAUCGUCCUCCGACCACCCCACGGCGGCGGCAACCGCCACACCAUGUUCCUCCCCCUCUUUCUCUCUCCUCCUCCUAGCAGCUUUUCCCGCAACUCCUCUCCCUCUCUCUGCCGUCAGAUUCAGGGAUCCGACCCUCUCCACCCUAACGCUCGCAUGCCCAUCUACGACGACCUCCUCCUCAACGGGUGUGAGGGCUGUUGCAGAGAGACAUAUUAAAGAAAUAUGUGCUGAGAAUAUAAACAAGUUUAAAUCGGAUAAGUCCAGAAAAAUAAAUAGAAGUUCUUUGUCUGAGCUUUUCAUUUCAUUCCUAAAAAAUUUGCUGACAUUAGUUCGAGGGCCUCAGAAAAAGGAAUCUGCCCAUAUACUGGACAAUGGGAACAAAUUGAUACCAAUAUGAGAUGGCUGCCCAAAACUUGUGCACUAUUUGUAAUCUCUCUUUCUCUCUGUCCACUACAGCUGCAACUACGACUUAGCUUUUUUCCACGAGUGGAGCUAAUUUUAUUGCUAAUAUCUGUUUAGGUUAAGGACCCUUUUGAGCAACCAGUUAACAAGGCUAGGACUGUUAGCAUUAGACAUCUAACAAGGAUAUCGGAAGCAUUUCAGGGAACCCACCAUGCACUUAUGUAUGGAAUUAAAUUAUGUUAGACAUCUAACGAGGAUAUUGGAUAUUAAAUUUGGUUAAUCCUCUAUUAUGCAUGUAAUUAAAUUAUCGGGGUUGGAUUAUACGUGGUUCGUAUGGAAUUUGUAUUACAUUUGGAAUUUCUAUUAUUACAUUUAGUUGUAUUAAAAAUUUA